UACAGAGGUCCCAAGCGUUGUUCGGAUUCACUGGGCGUAAAGGGUGCGUAGGUGGUGAGGUAAGUCGGAUGUGAAAUCCCGGAGCUCAACUCCGGAACUGCCUUUGAUACUGGUCGUCUAGAGAUCGGAAGAGGUGAGUGGAAUUCCCAGUGUAGAGGUGAAAUUCGUAGAUAUUGGGAAGAACACCAGUGGCGAAGGCGGCUCACUGGUCCGAUACUGACGCUGAGGUGCGAAAGCGUGGGGAGCAAACAGG
rnacentral:rRNA from 1 species